AGUGAACGCUGGCGGUAGGCCUAACACAUGCAAGUCGAACGGCAGCACAGUAAGAGCUUGCUCUUACGGGUGGCGAGUGGCGGACGGGUGAGGAAUACAUCGGAAUCUACUUUUUCGUGGGGGAUAACGUAGGGAAACUUACGCCAAUACCGCAUACGACCUACGGGUGAAAGCAGGGGAUCUUCGGACCUUGCGCGAUUGAAUGAGCCGAUGUCGGAUUAGCUAGUUGGCGGGGUAAAGGCCCACCAAGGCGACGAUCCGUAGCUGGUCUGAGAGGAUGAUCAGCCACACUGGAACUGAGACACGGUCCAGACUCCUACGGGAGGCAGCAGUGGGGAAUAUUGGACAAUGGGCGCAAGCCUGAUCCAGCCAUACCGCGUGGGUGAAGAAGGCCUUCGGGUUGUAAAGCCCUUUUGGUGGGAAAGAAAAGCAGCAGGUUAAUACCCCGCUGUUCUGACGGUACCCAAAGAAUAAGCACCGGCUAACUUCGUG
rnacentral:rRNA from 1 species